AAAAUAGGAUGAUGUAAUCUCCCAAAGCUAGAGAAUAUUGAGAAUAUUGACUGUUUCCAUGCUGCUGAAAGAUUAAGAUGAGGACAGGUGACUUUGACAAGCAGCCGUUUCAAUAAAUGGUCACCAUGGAUCCCUGACUGUAGUGGAUGGGCAUAGACAGCGUUUGAGAGAACUUGGACUGAGAGGCAAUAGGCCUACUAAGAAAACAUCUAAUGAAAAGAACAAGGUCAAAAACCAAAUACAGUCUAUGGAUGAUGUUGAUGACUUAACUCAGUCAUCUGAAACAGCCUCAGAGGAUUGUGAGCUGCCCCACUCUAGUUACAAGAAUUUUAUGUUGCUCAUUGAACAACUUGGAAUGGAGUGUAAAGAUUCUGUUAGCCUAUUGAAAAUCCAGGAUGCAGCUCUUUCAUGUGAAAGAUUAUUAGAACUUAAAAAAAAUCACUGUGAAGUACUUACAGUAAAAAUUAAAAAAAUGGAAGAUAAGGUUAAUGUACUACAAAGGGAGCUAUCUGAAACAAAAGAAAUAAAAUCACAGUUAGAGCAUCAAAAAGUUGAAUGGGAACGAGAACUGUGCUCUUUGAG
rnacentral:sRNA from 1 species